rnacentral:rRNA from 1 species
AACCACAACCAUAUCACCCUGCAGCCCAUGACUGGUUACUCACUGAAGCUAAUCAGAGCUGAGCCUGGUCAUUACCUGGAUUAGAGACCACAUGGGGAAACUAGGUUGCUGUUGGAA